GGUCUCCAGGGAAACCCGACGCUCUGGGGCUCCGGGCGCUGCGCGGAGCGGGACGAGACUUGCGAGUGGGGCUGCGCUGCGCUGGCCGCCGCCCUGGGCGGACCGGGUGCAGUAGGUGUGAGCUCUCCGACCCUCGGUGCGGCCCGCGGCAGGGGCGCAGUCGGGAUCCCGGCGGGAGCGCGGUUCGAAGUCCAGAGGCAUGGAAAGUGGGUGUCCUUCAGCCUUGUAUUAUAAAGUCCCAGAUGAUGACAUCUCUGAAAAUCAGCUGGCAGGAAGGGGCGGCCAGCCUGCUGCCACCGACUUCCUGGGGACCCUGGAGAUGCUCUCUACCAAAAGGGACAUCCUAGAGGCCCCGGAGGAGGAAGAGGAGUCCGAGGGUCCCCCCAGGGAGCAGGACUUGAAGGAGGCCUACAUCCAGCUGGUCCGAGGCGUGCAGGAGUGGCAGGACGGCUGUGUGUACCAAGGGGACGUCGGGCUGGACAUGAAGCUGGGAUACGGUGAAUUCUCUUGGCCCACGGGCGAGUCGUACCGCGGGCAGUUUUACCGGGACCACCGCCACGGGCUGGGCACCUACCAGUGGCCCGACGGCUCCAGCUUCACCGGCAUGUUUUACCUCAGCUACCGAGAGGGCUAUGGCACCAUGUACCUGAAGACCAGGCUCUUCCAGGGGCUGUACAAAGCGGACCAACGGUUUGGGCCGGGCGUGGAGACCUACCCGGACGGCAGGCAGGAUGUCGGGCUGUGGGUCCGGGAGCACCUCAUCAAGCUGUGCACGGAGGUUCCCUGCAGCUUCUCCAUCCACAACUACCCCGAGUACUCGGGCUUCCUCACUCACUCUCCUGCUAGACUCAGCCUCUCGGAUGAGAAGGUGGACUGGGACCAGCCGGAGGGACAGGACCCCCUCUUCUACGACUAUAAGCGGUUUCUUCUGAAUGAUGACCUGACUCUGCCUCCAGAAAUGCACAUUUACUCGACCGACAACAGCCACCUGCCCAUGACCUGCUCUUUCCGCAAAGAAUUGGAUGCCCAAAUCUUCCUUAAUGACAUUCCUCCAUUUGCUGAGGAUGAGGAGCCCUGGUUUAUAAAAAAUGAGACCCCUCUGAUGGUCAAAAUCCAGAAGCAAACCUACAAAUACAGGAACAAGAAGGCCCACACCAGCUGGAACAUGGGUGCCAUCUUGGAGGGGGACCGGAGCGGCUUUGCGCACCAUGGGCCCAAGGAGCAGCUUUCCAAGGAGAUGAUCCUGCGGGCCGAGGAAGGGGACUACGACUGGGUCUACAGGAUCCUCAGGGAUGACCUCGCCAGUGCCGAUGUGGCCGAUGCCAAGGGCUACACUGUGCUUGCUGCGGCCACUGUUCACUGUCACACUGACAUUGUCAACCUUCUGCUGGACAGCGGGGCCGACGUGAACAAGUACACGGACGAGGGCCUCACGCCGCUCAGCAUGUGCUUCCUCCUCUACUACCCGUCCACGUCCUUUAAGCCCAACAUCGCUGAGAGGAUGGCGCCCAAGUCCCACGUCAGCCCCGUGGCCCUGCGGCUCCCAGCACCGUGCCCCGUCUACUAUCCACCUGUCCGUCUCUCCACCCAGCAGUGCAUCUCCCCCCGCCUUGCACAGGAAGCUCCAAAUAUGCCAGUGAAUCCCAACCUUGCCUUCUCAUUCCCUGAAAUGGCCAUGGAGUCCAUCUGUUUCAAGGACCUGGCGCCCACCCCAGGCAGCCGGGAGCAGAAGUCCGUCGUGUGGGGCGGCGAGGAGGACCGUCUCUCCCCGGGUGCCCGGCUGUCCCAGGAGUCCCCCGACCUGGGGAGCAGCCCUCGGAAGCAGGACCUGUCACCGUGGGACAGUUCCAGUGACCCGGAGAAGGGGCCGGAUGGCACGGAGGGGAGUCUGGACAGGUGCGCGCCGGGCAGCCAGGAGACGGACUUCGAGUCCGCCGCCUGUGUGCGCAACUUCUCCUUCGGGCUGUCCCGGGACCUCCUGGAGAGGAGCGCCCAGGCCCGCAGCAUGCCGAAGGCCCCCUGCUUCAGUGCCACCGGCUUCGACAAGGGCACCGUGAGGAAGAUGGCGCUGGCCGCGGUGGAACGCAGAACCAGGCGGCUGACCAUCGAGCUGCUGCUGCACCGAGGCGCGGACCCCAACCUGUGCCGCGUGCCCAUGCAGGCCCUUUUUUUUGCCGUGAAGGCUGGGGACGUGGCCGGGGUGAGGCUGCUGCUGGAGAACGGGGCCAGGACCGACGUCCGGCUCCCGGCUGAGGUUUACCGAUUGGACUCUGCCUUGGGAACUAAGCUGGGGGCCCUGACCCCCCUGCACAUCGCAGCCGCCCUUCCCGGGGAGGAGGGCGUCAGGAUAACGGAGCUGCUCCUGCACACUGUCACCGACGUGGACGCCAGGGUGGCCGACGAGGAUGACGUGUACAAGCCGAGCAAGCUAGACCUGUUGCCUUCAAGCCUGAAGCUCAACAAUGAAGCGGGCCCGGCCGGCAUCUACCACAGCAGGCCUACGUGUGUGCCGGAUGAGGGGGGCAGGACGGCCCUGCACGUGGCCUGUGAGCGUGAGGACAGCUACAAGUGUGCCAGGGACACAGUCCGGCUCCUCCUCUCCCACAGAGCGGACCCCAACGUGCUGUGGAGCGGCCACUCCCCGCUCUCCUUGUCCAUCGCCAGCGGCAACGACCUGAUCGUGAAGGAGCUUCUGUCCCAUGGAGCCGACCCCAACCUGCUGCUGACCAGAGGCUUGGGCAACGCCUUGUGUGUCGCCUGUGACCUCACCUAUGAGCACCAGAGGAGCAUGGACAGCAAGCUGGCCCUGAUUGACCGGCUCAUUGAUCACGGGGCUGACAUCCUGAACCCUGUGACGCUCACACAGGGGGACAAGGUGGCCGUGGGCACGGCUGUCGAUUACGGGUACUUCAGAUUCUACCAGGACCGGAAGAUCGCCCACUCUCCUUUCUACGCGCUGACGCCGGUGGACCGGGAGGUCCUCCUGGCCCGGAAGCAGAUCCUGGAACACAUGGGCUUCCAGCUGCGCCGUGCUGUCUUCGCCAAGGAGAGCCAGUGGGACCCGAAGGUGCUGUACCUGAGCAAAAGAGCGGAGCUGACCCCCUACCGCAGGCUGAAGCAGAAAAGCACCAGCCUGUCCAAGGAGCUCCACUUGGAGGAGCAGGAGCCGAUCCCCUUCUUCAAGUUCUGCUACCAGUGCGGCCGCUCCGUCGGGGUGCGCCUCGUGCCCUGCACCCGCUGCUACGGGAUCCUGACCUGUAGCAAGGCCUGUAAGACCAGGGCCUGGGGUGACUUCCACAAGAGGGACUGUGGCAGCCUGUUGGCCAUCGUCAGCCUAGAGUGAAUUGUCGUGGAAGAUCUGCGAGCCGCCCGGCAAGAACUGUCCCGGAGGCCGAGUGAUGACGGGACCCCGGGAACCCUUCGCUUGCCAGCCAUGCGUGCCCAGGGUGCCUGAGUCGCGGACUGUCCAGGCUGAGGCCCCUGCGGCAUUUCUGUUUACCUGUGACGGGUGCCGGCCGUAACUGCACGCGGACGGGGUCUGCCGGGUCAGAAGGCGCCUUGUUGUCCUCGUGUACCUGUUCUGACGGUCCAGUGUGACUGGGAGGGCGUGGCCUCCAGGCGGGGAUGUGCCCUCCGGGCCCAGCUUCAUAGUUUCCUGUGCAGAGGAGUCACCCCGGCUGCUCUCGGACCUUUCUCUCCCCCGCCCACUCCUGUGGCAAGUCUGCUCAGCUCUGCCUUCAAAGUUGGCCCCAAUCAGGCCACUUCCGGAACCUCCUGCCCCCACUGACCCUUCCCUCCUCUCUGUCCCUGCAGCCACCGAGGCUCCGCGCAGCCACAGGGCCCCCGCGUUGCUCCCGCAUCCACUUGGCGUCUGUCAGAGUCCUUUGCCUGGCUUGCUCCCUGCGCCCGUCGCUCACAGUCCCCCUUACGGCUGCUCCAGCCCCCUCCCCGCCCCUGCCAGUGCCCUGCCCUCUUUCAAGCAUCCCUGUGGCUCCUCCCUUCCCGUUCUCAGACAGCUGCCCAGUGGAGUCCUCUCUGCUUCUGGGUCGACUUGUGCCUUGAGCACUUCCUCUCUGAUGGCCAUGCUCUGGGCACCUCAAUGUCGUAGGGGACAAGAUAACCGGAUCCCUGGCCCCCGGGAGUCUGUUCUAGAAGGGAGAGCUCUCGUGUGGGAGAUACGCCGUGUCUGCCAGACCCCGGGACAGGAACGGUGUUCCCGGGAGAACCUCAGCCGCUGUGAGGCCACCAGCCGGUGGGGACCCCGGCCGCACUGAUGGCGGGCCCAGCCGGCCGCUGCACAGGCCCACCUCCCUUGGCGCCGGGGCUUUCCCGCUUCCCGUCCUGUCGGGAACAGCCUCUGGGCUGGUGGCAGGGUCUGCGGGUGCCAAUGGAGGAUCCAGCGGGGGAUCCCGUUCCUUUUUCGUGUCCGUGGCUCGCUCUUUAUCCCCUCCGGGCUCACAUGAGCUGGCAGCGUGGCGGCCUUGUGUCGACAGGGGAAAGGUUUGCCACCACCAGUUUCUUAAAAGGAUGGAGAUGCGUCUUACGGAAAGGCACACCGAGGUUAGUCACUCCAGCUUGAGUCUUUGCCUCCGGACGUCACUUAACCCAUUCAUCUGUCUGUCCAGUCCCCGUGGUGCCUGUGUGUGUUUUCACGUAUGUGUGGGGCGCCCCCGCCUCGCCCAGUCUCCCCACCGCCGGCGACGCUCAGGCCUGCCUCUGUCACCCAGACAUCCUGCUCAUCAGGAACCCGGUGCCUUCCGUCUUCAGAAAAUGCUGAAGCAGCCGCCUCUCACCUCGCCCUUCUUUGCUGGGCACCGAGGCAUGGGCGGGGCGGGGGCACGCCUGCUCGGCCCUGGCUCUGUACCAGUUCCGUGCGGGGGCUGUGGAGACACUGGCCCCGGCGGACAUGCAGUGCGUCCUCUGACCCCUCCCAGAGCAGGUGCGUCCCAGCCAGCAGCCGCCCGUCACGUCCUGAGUGCCGGGGGCCGCCGGGCUGGUCUUCUGACUCUCAGCUGUCCCUGCGGCUGUCUGACUCUUCGCUGUCCCUGCGGUCGGCUUUCCCCGCUAUCGGCCGAGCUGUUUCUGCUCCACAUCAAGUAGAAGCUGGACACUGCCAGAGUGUGGAGCGAGGAGGGGGCCCCCCUGGUCGCCUGUCCUGGGGGGUCCUGAAGAGUUCAGCUCCCUCCUCGGAAAGUUCUGUGAUGUCGCUGAGCCGCUCUACCUGCUUCCCUCUGAGCACGAGGUGCCCUGGAGGCCCGGCUGCCUUGGGUGGACCCGCCUCCCCUCUCCUCUGGCUGCAGUGUGCACGCCCUUUGGCUCUCUGCGAACGUGGGAGUUCUGGUCACUCGCCCUGCUGCAGCGUGCACGUCCCGGGAGGACGAGGAGGCCUGUACCCAGGCCAGGCCCUGCGCCGAGCCACCACCUGUCUCCCUGCUGGCCUGCGCCCGAGGACCUUUGAGGCCCCUGCUUUGUGGGCUCCUCUUGUCAUUGGGGGUCUGGCGCCCCUGGGACCGUCAGUCACAUGCUCAAGGUGGAGAAGAGGUGCACGUGCCCAAGUCACACAGGGGAGGAACACUCAGCAAGGAAAACGCAUCCGGCUGGGCGCACACCCAACUUCCAGGAGACCUCGAAGCAUCUGGGCAAGGAGGCGAGCCAGAAGCCGGAGGCUCCGAAGCCACCACGCCGGUUAAAAGGCUUCUAUUCCACGUACAGCCAC